UCCGGGCGGACGCCGAGUCCUGCCGCCGCCCGGAUGACAGGUCGACAGGAGUGGAUCGGCAGGAGUGGAGGACCCAAGCACGACGGGUCGCCGGACCGAGGUCUCCGCACGGAGACGCCGGGCCGAGCAGCCCUUGGGGUGAAGCCGCGUCAGCGGCCGGGCAACUUCGCCAGCCCGAAUCCGACAGGUCAUCCUUCACAGGCGGCUGACGAAGGGUUG
rnacentral:sRNA from 1 species